GAUGCUCGGUCACAAACAGACGUUGCUCAAAAAAAGAAGAUAAUAUUAGGACAAGGGCAAAGUAGUUUUAAGAAAAAGUUACAGCUUAAGUCAUAAGCUGUGAUCUGAGAUAUAGUUUCUUAACCUGGUUUGACUGAAUAAUAUAUUCUUUAACAUCUGUGUAUCCCUUACUCAAAAAAAAACAUCUGUGUAUUCCACGUUAAAGAAAAAGAAACAU
rnacentral:lncRNA from 1 species